rnacentral:rRNA from 1 species
GACGAACGCUGGCGGCGUGCCUAACACAUGCAAGUCGAACGGAAAGGCCCGGCUUUUGUGCGGUGCUCGAGUGGCGAACUGGGGAGUAACACGUGAGUAACCUCCCCCUCACUUAGGGGGAUCUUCAGGGAACUGGGGCUCUUACCGCAUAAGAUCUCUUGCUGCAUGGUGGGCGUUGGUAAGUUUAGGUGGUUGGGGAUGGAAUCGCGGACUAUCAGCUUGAUUGUUGGGUAGUGACGUACCAAGGCUUUCACGGCUAGGCGGCCUGAGAGGGUUACCGGACACAAUGGGACUGGGAUAGGGCCCAGACUCGUACGGGAGGCAGCGGUGGAGAGUAUGACACAGUGGGCGGAAGGCUGAUGCAGCAACGCCGCGUGCGGGAAGACGGGCUUCGGGUUGUGAACAGCUGUCGCCUUUGCCGAAGCGAGAGUGACGGUACCGGGUAAAGAAGCACCGGCUAACUACGUG